rnacentral:tRNA from 1 species
GGACGUGGCGGAAUCGGUAGACGCAACGGACUUAAAAUCCGUUAUUCGAAAGAGUGUGGGGGUUCGAGUCCCCCCGUCCGC